CUAUUGGCAUCUUUGGAUGAAUUGCAAUGAUGGAAGUUAUCAAAAGCCGAUUGUGGCAUGGGAAUCUAAGCUACAUUGCGUGAAAGGAAUCCACAGAAACAACACGACAACAAAUGCACCUACAGUUAUAGUUGCAGUACAGAUUUUUAUUCAGCGGAGUCGAUUAAGAGACAUCUGAUCACGGCUGCUUAUUACGCACAGAACACUCAGCGAUUUCCUAAAAAUGUACUCUAAUGCCGCGAUUGAAAUGUGAGGAUGAUCGCGAGAGCUGCCUGCCAUCUGGGAAUGCAUUAUAUUAAAAUGAUAUUUUUAAUGUAAGUCGUUAGUUUAUAAAUUUGUAUUUAGAUAGUUGUUUCUGUUCAACAUAACUAAAGUAAUGUAAUACAGUUUAGUUUUUUUUUAUCAGAUGUGUUAUUUUCGCAUUGUUGGUCUUACUGUUUAUAUUAAUAAUUAGGGGCCGAUUUUAUGACCGUCCCACCUUCCUCGCGGACCCCAAAUAAUCAUGAACCACAGCAAGGAUAUUCAGAAGUCCGUACGUUACGUUUAAAAAUCCUCUCCACAAUCAGUCAGAUUUGAAUGCGAUCGCGCAGGAGAACUGCAUUGUCAAUAUGCAGUACGCGACAUGACCUGUGAAUGUUAUGAGAAGAUUCCGAAAUGCCUGAGUUAAUUAGGUUUUUUGCUGGAGAACCUUUGCAGCAUAUAGUGCUUGUCCAGAGCAGAUUACUGAACAG